UUCAUCAUUCACAAGGCUGCAC
rnacentral:miRNA from 3 species